CUUCUCUUUGGAUCUGUUAGGACCCAAGCAUUGCCAUGUGUGUGGUAGUGUUGGGACCUGAGCGUGGGUCUGAAGAACAAUUGGAAUGUCUGCCCCUGGAGGUGGCUACCUCAGACAAGCUGAUUAUACAACCACUGUGAAGGGAGAAGGAAUUGAGCCAUGUCAUCAGACCUGCACGGCUUUGUCCACUCAGCCGUCUCACCAGCCCUGGAAACAGGUCUCCGUGGUACCUCGGCACCCUUGAAGCCAGCUGUGUUAGGUCCACACUGUGCGGGUUUCCUGAUGGACAUCAAGUUGGUGUUUUCUCAGAGGAGCCCAGAUUCCUGCUUUGACUUAGAGGAUCAUCCUGUUGGGAACCCCACAGGUUUAUGGCUCAUUUCCUGCAGACACGGUCUCAGGAAAUGGCUCACCCUCCUGCCUUCACUUCCCAUGUUCUGGGACUGCAGGCGUGUGCCACUGCAUGCCACCACGUACCAUCACGCCUGGCUGAGUUCUGCUUUCUUCUCUGAACUGAGGAUGUGAGAAGCCUACAGAGGAAAAGCAAUUUAAAAGGUUUUCCUUUCCUCCGCGCUGACCUGGAGUACUGGCUCCUUCCUCAGGGUGGCUCCUGCGUAGUUGUGGGUGUGACUCUGGUUUCUACACAGGCUGCUGGCUAGUUUGCCUAAUCUUAUGGCACUAUUAUGAAAUCCUAACUAAAUUUAGAAAAAGAUCCGAGCAAAACCCAAGGUAUUCCCGAAUUUACUACAGUGUUGAUUAAUUCCAUCUCCAAACUCACUGCUGAGUAUUUGUUUUUUGCUUUUCCUAU